AUUGAACGCUGGCGGCAUGCCUUACACAUGCAAGUCGAACGGCAGCACGGGUGCUUGCACCUGGUGGCGAGUGGCGAACGGGUGAGUAAUACAUCGGAACGUACCUUAUCGUGGGGGAUAACGCAGCGAAAGCUGUGCUAAUACCGCAUACGCCCUGCGGGGGAAAGCGGGGGAUCGCAAGACCUCGCGCGAUUAGAGCGGCCGAUGCCUGAUUAGCUUGUUGGUGGGGUAAAAGCCCACCAAGGCGACGAUCAGUAGCUGGUCUGAGAGGACGAUCAGCCACACUGGGACUGAGACACGGCCCAGACUCCUACGGGAGGCAGCAGUGGGGAAUUUUGGACAAUGGGGGCAACCCUGAUCCAGCAAUGCCGCGUGAGUGAAGAAGGCCUUCGGGUUGUAAAGCUCUUUUGUCAGGGAAGAAACACCGGCUCUAACACAGUCUGGGAAUGACGGUACCUGAAGCAUAAGCACCGGCUAACUACGUGCCAGCCGCCGCCGUAA
rnacentral:rRNA from 1 species